AUGGGAACAAGUUCUUGCUUCCUUUGUUUCCACAACUAAAAGCAUAAGAUUUGCAAUCAAUAUACUUCCAACAAAUGCCGACAUCAUGCCACUUCUUUAACCAAAGUCCAUUGGAGUGAUAAGCGAGCCGUGCGAUCAGUUCAAAGUUUAGAGCUGAUUCUCAGUAUGAAAAUAAAGAGGACCCUUCAAAGUAGCUGAAUUGAAUAGCUAAAAGGCUUUAAUUCGAGAAUAAUGCAUUUUGCAGCAAAGAUUG
rnacentral:misc_RNA from 1 species